UACGGAGGGUGCAAGCGUUAUCCGGAUUCACUGGGUUUAAAGGGUGCGCAGGCGGCCGUGUGUGUUGGGCGUGAAAGCCCGGGGCUUAACCCCGGAAUUGCACCCAAAACUACAUGGCUAGAGCAUUGGAGAGGGUAGCAGAAUUCAUGGUGUAGCAGUGAAAUGCGUAGAUAUCGGGAGGAACACCAGUGGCGAAGGCGGCGAUCUGGGAAGAGUACUGACGCUGAGGUGCGAAAGCGUGGGGAGCAAACAGG
rnacentral:rRNA from 1 species